CCGAUCACCACUCAUACGCCGAAC
rnacentral:siRNA from 1 species